GUCCACGCCCUAAACUAUGUCAACUGGUUGUCGGGGAUUAACUCCCUUGGUAACGAAGCUAACGCGUGAAGUUGACCGCCUGGGGAGUACGGCCGCAAGGUUAAAACUCAAAGGAAUUGACGGGGACCCGCACAAGCGGUGGAUUAUGUGGAUUAAUUCGAUGCAACGCGAAAACCUUACCUACCCUUGACAUGUACGGAAUCUCCCAGAGAUGGGAGGGUGCCCGAAAGGGAGCCGUAACACAGGUGCUGCAUGGCUGUCGU
rnacentral:rRNA from 1 species